ACCCGUUGAUCCUGCGGGAGAUUGCUGCUAUCGGGAUACGAUUAAGCCAUGCAAGUCAGGGGACCUUCGGGUCACCGGCAGACCGCUGAGUAACACGUCAGUAACCUGCCCUAUGGUCUGGGAUAGCUUCGGGAAACUGAGGGUAAUACCGGAUAGAAACAGGUGCCUGGAAUGGCCCUGUUUUGAAAGAUUACGCCGUAGGAUGGGCUGGCGACUGAUUAGGCUGAUGGUGGGGUAAUGGCCCACCAUACCGACGAUCAGUAGGGGCCAUGAGAGUGGUAGCCCCCAGAAGGACACUGAGAUACUGGUCCUAGCCCCACGGGGUGCAGCAGGCGCGAAACCUCUACAAUGCACGAAAGUGUGAUAGGGGAAUCCCGAGUGCUUAUGCACUGCAUAGGCUUUUCUUAAGAGUAAAUAUCUUAGGGAAUAAGUGGUGGGAAAGACCGGUGCCAGCAGCCGCGGUAACCCCGGCGCCACAAGUGGCAAUCGAUUUUAUUGGGUCUAAAGCGUCCGUAGUCGGCUUGAUCAAUCUCUUGUGAAAUCGUCCAGCUUAACUGGACGGCGUGCGGGAGAGACUGUCAAGCUAGGGACCGGGAGGGGCCAGAGGUAUGCCUGAGGGAGUGGUAAAAUGUGAUAAUCUCAGGUAGACCACCUGUGGCGAAGGCGUCUGGCUAGAACGGAUCCGACGAUGAGGGACGAAGGCUAGGGGAGCGAACCGGAUUAGAUACCCGAGUAGUCCUAGCAGUAAACGCUGUGAGUUAGGUGUUGCGUAUUCUUUUUGGAUAUGCAGUGUCGAAGCGAAGGCGCUAAACUCACCACCUGGGAAGUACGGUCGCAAGACUGAAACUUAAAGGAAUUGGCGGGGGAGCACUACAAGGGGUGCGGCGUGCGGUUUAAUCUAACUCAACGCAGAAAAUCUCACCAGCAGCGACGGCAGAAUGAAGGUCAGUCUGAAGGGCUUACCUGACGAGCCGAGAGGUAGUGCAUGGCCGUCGUCAGCUCGUGCCGUAAGGUGUCCUGUUAAGUCAGGUAACGAGCGAGACCUGUGCUUACAAUUGCCAGCGUGUUCUUCGGAAUGAACGGGCACAUUGUAAGGACCGCCCUGGAAACGGGGAGGAAGGUGCAGGCUACGGUAGGUCUGUAUGCUCCGAAUCUGCUGGGCUACACGCGCGCAACAAUGGUAAGGACAAUGGGAUACUACUCCGAAAGGAGACGUUAAACCUCGAAACCUUAUCUCAGUCCAGAUCGUGGGUUGGAACUCACCCACGUGACGUUGGAAUCCCUAGUAAUCGGACGUCAUCAUCGUCCGGUGAAUAUGUCCCUGCUCCUUGCACACACCGCCCGUCAAACCACUCGAGCAGAGUUGUAGUGAGUCCUGGUUCUUUGAUCAGGCCGAACUGGAGCUCAGUGAGAUGGGUUAAGUCGUCACAAGGUC
rnacentral:rRNA from 1 species